rnacentral:rRNA from 1 species
GCCCUUAGAGUUUGAUCAUGGCUCAGGAUGAACGCUAGCGGCAGGCCUAACACAUGCAAGUCGAGGGGUAACAGGAGAGCUUGCUCUUGCUGACGACCGGCGCACGGGUGAGUAAUGUAUAUGCAACCUACCCAUAACUGGAGAAUAGCCUUCGGAAACGAGGAUUAAUGCUCCAUAAUAUUAUGUUACUGCAUGGUAAUAUAAUUAAAGUUUCGGCGGUUAUGGAUGGGCAUAUAUUCCAUUAGCUAGUUGGUGAGGUAAGAGCUCACCAAGGCGACGAUGGAUAGGGGUCCUGAGAGGGUGGUCCCCCACACUGGUACUGAGACACGGACCAGACUCCUACGGGAGGCAGCAGUGAGGAAUAUUGGUCAAUGGGCGCAAGCCUGAACCAGCCAUGCCGCGUGCAGGAAGACUGUCCUAUGGAUUGUAAACUGCUUUUUUGCAAGAAGAAACGCAAUGACGUGUCGUUGUUUGACGGUAUUGCAGGAAUAAGCAUCGGCUAACUCCGUGCCAGCAGCCGCGGUAAUACGGAGGAUGCAAGCGUUAUCCGGAUUUAUUGGGUUUAAAGGGUGCGCAGGCGGGCUAUUAAGUCAGUGGUGAAAGCCUAUAGCUUAACUAUAGAAUUGCCAUUGAAACUGAUAGUCUUGAGUACAGUUGAGGUUGGCGGAAUGUGUAAUGUAGCGGUGAAAUGCUUAGAGAUUACACAGAACACCGAUUGCGAAGGCAGCUAACUAAACUGUAACUGACGCUGAGGCACGAAAGCGUGGGGAGCGAACAGGAUUAGAUACCCUGGUAGUCCACGCUGUAAACGAUGAUCAUUCGUUGUUGGCGAUACACAGUCAGCGACUAAGCGAAAGCAUUAAGUGAUCCACCUGGGGAGUACGCUCGCAAGGGUGAACUCAAAGGAAUUGACGGGGGCCCGCACAAC